GUAAAUACAAGGCAGAAGUACAAUCUGACGGAUGACAGAAAGAUGUGGCAACGAUGGAGACCCAAUGCAUUUCCAAUGGCCACCAAUUCUGCAUGAGGAACUAUUCUAGCCAUUGAAGCUGAAGGGGAAAAAGUGAUGCAGAGCAAUACUCUGAAAAAUCAGUCUUGGGGUAGUGAUUCAGGAAAAUAAUCAGUAGACAAAGGACACGGAAGACCACGGAUAAGCUCUAUACAGAUUUACAGGGACACCAUGACCUGAUCUAUCUGGACAGCUGCAAGAACAAAGGACCCUGACACCAAGAAGUUUGCAACAACCAACCCCCCACCGCCUCCUUUUUAGUAUAAAAGGAGCCUGAAUUCUGACUUGUGUAAGAUGGUUCUCCAGGAUGUUAGUCUGCCAUCCUCUCAGUCUGCUGGCUUUCCAAAUAAAGUUACUAUUUCUUGCCCCAACA